UUGGAAUAGAGCAAUAUAGGGAGCUCUACUUUCUACUUUCUGAAUUAUGAACUCUAACUCUCCUCUUGAAACAUAGAUCCCAAUCAUUCUUAAGAAUCGACAGAGAAUAGAAAGCGGAUCCUCUCCUGAUUGGACUGGACAGUUAGUCAUAAAUGCUUUGAUUGCUAUAUCAUAGUCAUAAAUGCUUUGAUUGCUAUAUCAUUUCAUAAUCAUGAAAAGAAAGAAAUAUAAUGAGAUGAGAUUCCACGGUAGAGACAGCAUCCGCCUGACCCGAUGAAAGACCAUGAACCAGAAAGCGCAUAACGGAAGCAGUGAUACAAUUAUGAGAAAAUAGACUCUAAGUCCCUCUCGGGUUGUCUUGAAAAAAAGGUCUGGCUUCCCCGGAGCCGAGUGAGUAACCCACGAAUGGGAUUCAAACCAUCCCUUAUUUAAAGAAUUAGCCUAGGCAUUUCUAUUCGAUGAGAAAAGAAAGAAUGCCUUACCUCCACGUGUAAUGAAGCUCGACUGCAAGUAUAGGGGAGUGGUGAUGAAUUCAAUGAAUUCGGUCUCUCAUUUCACUCUCCGAUAGUAUUCUAGAUCGGGAUCGAUGCAGAGGAAAUCAAUGCUCGCCUCUUUUCUGAUUUCUACCUUUCUUACAGGGAGUGACAUAUUUCUACCUUUCUUACAGGGAGUGACAUAUUCAAAGGAAACUUACUUAGCUCAGGAAAGAGAAAGAGAGAUCCAUUCGUAUGCCCAGCCCAAUCUUCCUUCAGAGUCUCGCCCUCCAUUAAGGAAAUUCCA
rnacentral:lncRNA from 1 species